rnacentral:tRNA from 1 species
CAAGACCCAUAAGACCAUUCUUACAUCAUCUGAAUGCAACACAGACAUUUUUAUUAAACUAGGGCCUCC